AGUUGCGUGGCUUAGAAUGGACCUAAUACUUCCAUUUAAAGUUGGAGAUGCUAUAGAGACAAGAACCUAUGACGCUGGUUAUAGGGGCGCAUGGUUCCGUGGCAAGCUCACCGACAUGCGUAUCAGGGAAGAUCACCUGGAGUGUCAGGUGGAGUAUAUAGACUAUCCAUAUGAAAGUAAGUAAUUGUUUUUGCCGAUAAAUCAAGAAUCCAAUAAAAUUAUUUUCUUA